GUAAAACUGUGACUUGACAGUCUAACAGCACGUUGAGGAUAACAGCUACGGAGCAACAUUAUCAUUCAUCUGGAGUUGUGUUUCUGGUCACCUCAUGAAUAAUAAAAGCAUAAAAUUGGACAUCAGCUCAUCUGAGCCCACACACAUCUGGACCCAGUCUGUGUACCAGAAUUACCCAGAAGGCAUGCGGUGUGUUUCAGCCGGUCAGAAGGAAAUAGAGAAGAUGCCUUGCAGUCACGUGACUUCUGACGAUGUCCGUUGUGGUCGCCGCCAUGUUGGGUACCGAUGUUAUACAGUUAGGUACAUAAUGCUAGCACUCUUCACCGCCAAUGUCACUCCUUUAUCACCGCAAACAGAAAAGGUAUGCAGAGAAUAUAUCAGUAAUUGGAUGUGAUCCUUACGGAAUCUCUCCUGAGCUUUUCCAGCCACUGAUCUCAUCAGAGACUGCCGGACUUUGCAUUUCUUGACAUUUAUAUCUACCUAGUACACCGCUACUCUAUAGCUCAUGCCUCAGGCCGAUGCCUUUAGGAUGAGUGCGGUACGAUUCAUCCACCAGAUCGACUAGGCCGUGUUUUCACAUGCAAGGAUAG